UACGUAGGGUGCGAGCGUUAAUCGGAAUUACUGGGCGUAAAGCGUGCGCGGGCGGUUCGUUAAGUCAGAUGUGAAAGCCCCGGGCUCAACCUGGGAACUGCAUUUGAAACUGGCGGGCUUGAGUGUGGCAGAGGGGGGUGGAAUUCCGCGUGUAGCAGUGAAAUGCGUAGAGAUGCGGAGGAACACCGAUGGCGAAGGCAGCCCCCUGGGCCAACACUGACGCUCAGGCACGAAAGCGUGGGGAGCAAACAGG
rnacentral:rRNA from 1 species